AGUCAAUAGAUACCCGGGUAGUCCAUGCCGUAAACGAUGAUUGCUAGGUGUGGGGGGUCUGACCCCUUCCGUGCCGGAGUUAAACACAAAUAAGCAAUCCACCUGGGGAGUACGGCCGCAAGGUUGAAACUCAAAGGAAUUGACGGGGGCCCGCACAAGCAGUGGAGUAUGUGGUUUAAUUCGAAGCAACGCGAAGAACCUUACCAGGUCUUGACAUCCACCGAAUCCUGUAGAGAUACGGGAGUGCCCUUCGGGGAACGGUGAGACAGGUGGUGCAUGGUUGUCGUCAGCUCGUGUCGUGAGAUGUUGGGUUAAGUCCCGCAACGAGCGCAACCCUUGUGAAUAGUUGCUACGAAAGAGCACUCUAUUCAGACCGCCGUUGACAAAACGGAGGAAGGUGGGGAUGACGUCAAAUCAUCAUGCCCCUUAUGACCUGGGCUACACACGUACUACAAUGGCCGUUAACAGAGGGAUGCAAUG
rnacentral:rRNA from 1 species